AGACAGAAGCCAUGGAUCCAGCUCUGUACUCUGCCCCACACGACUUCCUACAAAAUGCCAUUGUCUUCACUGGGAUCCCGUCCUGGUUUUCCUUCGGUGUUGGAUUUGCAGUAGUGAAGGACAGGGACUAGCCCAUGCCUCCACACACCUUUGCUGAGGUACACCCGCUGACCUCAUGCUUUAGUGCAUUUCCUCCUUCAUUUGCUUUAUUUUAAAUAAACUCUACAUGUUAAAUGCUUCUGGAGAGGAAAACUGUUACAAAAGAGGUUGGGAGUGAAACUGGUAGGUACUGAAUAGGCUUUAAUGGAAAUUAAAUAUUUAGAGAGCAGAGACAUGACAACUAUAGAGACUUCCUGAGCAAUCCUCGGGGCAGAAACAGUUUUGUAGAUGGCCGUGAUCCAGCAAACCGCUUAAGACACAGGCACAGUCUCACUGAGUUAAUUGAGAAUAUAUGUGUGUGUGUUUAAGUGCUUUGCUGGACAACAGCCUUGAAUACGCUAUGCUUUCACUUAAAUUCCAUUUUUAGGUUCUGCUUUCAUGUAAGAAUAGGAAUCUUCACUGGUUCAUUGCCUUAUAACAACAGCAGGAGACAGUAUCAAUCUGUAAGCAUCAAUCAAUAGCUAAACAUUGAAAUGAAGGCUGAUUUAAAAAAUCUAAACACUUAAUAACUAUCCUUAAGAGCCCCUAAAUCUGUUCCAUUUGUAAUAAAUGACUUCCAAAAGCAAAUUUACUUUUGGGUUAAUGGGAACCGGUAUGUUUUGUUCUGUGAUGAUCAGCUUGAUGAAAACCACCAAAAAAGUCCCCCGAAACUAAACCAACAAACCAGAAUCCCACCACAUUUGAAUGCUUAUCUGAGUCCCUUUCAGCUCCUGAGUUUGCAGAUCUACUUCAAGGGGAAAUUAUUUCUGACGUGGGCUGUUUUAUUUCAAUGUCUACUCACAAGGCAAAAGCUGCGGGAUGUGAACAAAGUGCGUUUGUAUUGCCCA